UACGUAGGUGGCAAGCGUUUGUCCGGAUUUACUGGGCGUAAAGAGCGCGCAGGCGGUCGAUCAAGUCGCGUGUGAAAGCCCCCGGCUCAACUGGGGAGGGUCACGCGAUACUGAUCGACUCGAAGGCAGGAGAGGGUAGUGGAAUUCCCGGUGUAGUGGUGAAAUGCGUAGAUAUCGGGAGGAACACCAGUGGCGAAGGCAACUACCUGGCCUGUUUCUUGACGCUGAGGCGCGAAAGCCAGGGGAGCAAACGGG
rnacentral:rRNA from 1 species